rnacentral:misc_RNA from 1 species
CAACCCUCAGCACCCCUUCGGGGGAGCUGGUGCUGGGGAUCAGCCAAAGCCGCAUGGCGGCCGGCUGGCCCCGAAAUACAGUGGCGGUCUCGCUGUAGCCCCCUUGCGUAGUAACUAACCUCGCACCGGAGCAUGACGUGACCACGCCGUAAAACCCCCAUAUUUUACCAAU